CCGAUUCCGUUCGAAUCCGUGCCCCCUACCCCACGAAAACUCCUCUAUAUAAUCCCCCGCAUCAGCCCCUCUCCGUUUUUCCAAAAAUCGCAAACCGCAGACCACCAGAGGGCUCGUUCCGAUCUCGCCGGAGUUCGUCGCUGCGAACUCGAAGUCGAGGCAGGACCACGGGAACGAUCAGAGACAAGUACACCGGAAUUUCGCCGGAGACGGAGGAUUCCAGUCAGGAACCAUCUCUGUUCGGAACGACUCGCUGACGAAACAAGAAGGAGAUCAAUCUCGUCGAGCCGCACCUCGUCGCCACCACCACUGCAUCCGACGUCGCCGUGCACACCCGACCGUCGCCUUCAUCUCCUUCGUCGUCGUCCGCCACCCACCUGAUUGUGCGGAGUGCGCGAGUGCUGCUGAGGAGGAAUAUUGUUUAGAGUGCUGUUCGGAUCAA